CUUGAUACUAGAGCUAGGUGUGUGUUUA
rnacentral:sRNA from 1 species